CUAGUACUCCCUCUGUCCGGAAAUACUUGUCAUCAAAAUGAAUAAAAGGGGAUGUAUCUAGAUGUAUUUUAGUUCUAGAUACAUUCCUUUUUGUUCAUUUUGAUGACAAGUAUUUUCGGACGGAGAGAGUAAUUA
rnacentral:pre_miRNA from 1 species